AACGAACGCUGGCGGCGUGCCUAAUACAUGCAAGUCGAACGGAGAAUGUAGCAAUACGUUCUUAGUGGCGAACGGGUGAGUAACGCGUUGGUGACCUGCCCCAAAGAGGGGGAUAACAGUUCGAAAGGACUGCUAAUACCGCAUGUGGUUGGGAAGAUUAGAAGCUUUCCAACGAAAAGAGAAAUCUGCUUCGGGAGGGGCCUGCGACCCAUCAGCUAGUUGGUAGGGUAAAAGCCUACCAAGGCGACGACGGGUAGGGGACCUGAGAGGGUGACCCCCCACACUGGCACUGAAACACGGGCCAGACACCUACGGGUGGCUG
rnacentral:rRNA from 1 species